rnacentral:misc_RNA from 1 species
UUUCCGUAGGUGAACCUGCGGAAGGAUCAUUACUGAGUGUUCACGAAAGUGAUAUCUCCCACCCUAUGUUUAAUUGACCUGUUGCUUCGGCGAAUCGUCGCAAGACUGUCGGCCUUCUCUUUCGAGGGCGGGCAAGUUAUUCGCCGAAGAUACAAACUCUUCGAAUUAUGUUGUCUGAGUAUAGAAAACAAACAAAUAAAAACUUUUAACAACGGAUCUCUUGGUUCUG